rnacentral:rRNA from 1 species
ACGAACGCUGGCGGCGUGCCUAAUACAUGCAAGUCGAGCGGACUUUCAAGAAGCUUGCUUUUUGAAAGUUAGCGGCGGACGGGUGAGUAACACGUGGGCAACCUGCCUGCAAGACGGGGAUAACUCCGGGAAACCGGGGCUAAUACCGGAUAAUAUCUUCCUUCGCAUGAAGGAAGGUUGAAAGGCGGCGCAAGCUGCCGCUUGCAGAUGGGCCCGCGGCGCAUUAGCUAGUUGGUGAGGUAACGGCUCACCAAGGCGACGAUGCGUAGCCGACCUGAGAGGGUGAUCGGCCACACUGGGACUGAGACACGGCCCAGACUCCUACGGGAGGCAGCAGUAGGGAAUCUUCCGCAAUGGACGAAAGUCUGACGGAGCAACGCCGCGUGAGCGAAGAAGGUCUUCGGAUCGUAAAGCUCUGUUGUCAGGGAAGAGCAAGUACCGUUCGAACAGGGCGGUACCUUGACGGUACCUGACCAGAAAGCCACGGCUAACUACGUG